rnacentral:rRNA from 1 species
AAGUCGAGCGAGGAAAUUCCCGAAACAAAGGAGUAAUCCGSUAUCAGAUGGGCCCGCGGCGCAUUAGCUAGUUGGUGAGGUAACGGCUCACCAAGGCGACGAUGCGUAGCCGACCUGAGAGGGUGAUCGGCCACAUUGGGACUGAGACACGGCCCAGACUCCUACGGGAGGCAGCAGUGGGGAAUAUUGCACAAUAAUGACGGUACCUGAGGAGGAAGCCACGGCUAACUACGUGCCAGCAGCCGCGGUAAUACGUAGGUGGCAAGCGUUGUCCGGAUUUACUGGGCGUAAAGGGAGCGUAGGCGGAUACUUAAGUGGGAUGUGAAAUACCUGGGCUUAACUUGGGUGCUGCAUUCCAAACUGGGUG